GAUGAACGCUGGCGGCGUGCUUAACACAUGCAAGUCGAACGGUGAAGGCGGAGCUUGCUCUGCUGGAUCAGUGGCGAACGGGUGAGUAACACGUGAGCAAUCUGCCCCUGACUCUGGGAUAAGCGCUGGAAACGGCGUCUAAUACUGGAUACGAGCUGCGAAGGCAUCUUCAGCAGCUGGAAAGAAUUUCGGUCAGGGAUGAGCUCGCGGCCUAUCAGCUUGUUGGUGAGGUAAUGGCUCACCAAGGCGUCGACGGGUAGCCGGCCUGAGAGGGUGACCGGCCACACUGGGACUGAGACACGGCCCAGACUCCUACGGGAGGAAGCAGUGGGGAAUAUUGCACAAUGGGCGAAAGCCUGAUGCAGCAACACCGCGUGAGGGACGACGGCCUUCGGGUUGUAAACCUCUUUUAGCAGGGAAGAAGCGAAAGUGACGGUACCUGCAGAAAAAGCGCCGGCUAACUACGUG
rnacentral:rRNA from 1 species